AUACGGAGGAUCCGAGCGUUAUCCGGAUUUAUUGGGUUUAAAGGGUGCGCAGGCGGCCAUUUAAGUCAGCGGUUAAAUCGUGGGGCUCAACCCCAUUCUGCCGUUGAUACUGGGUGGCUUGAUUGCGGUCGAGGUUGGCGGAAUUCGUUGUGUAGCGGUGAAAUGCAUAGAUAUGACGAAGAACACCGAUUGCGUAGGCAGCUGACCAGACCGCAAAUGACGCUCAUGCACGAAAGUGCGGGGAUCGAACAGGAUUAGAUCCCCGGGUAGUCCGCACAGUAAACGAUGAAUACUUGUUUUCGGCGAUAUAAUGUCGGAGGCAAAGCGAAAGCGAUAAGUAUUCCACCUGGGGAGUACGCCGGCAACGGUGAAACUCAAAUGAAUUGACGGGG
rnacentral:rRNA from 1 species